CGCGUGAGAAUCUAGCUUCAGGUCGGGGAUAACUACUGGAAACGGUGGCUAAUACCGGAUGUGCCGAAAGGUGAAAGGUUAACUGCCUGAAGAUGAGCUCGCGUCUGAUUAGCUAGUUGGUGUGGUAAGAGCGCACCAAGGCGUCGAUCAGUAGCUGGUCUGAGAGGAUGAUCAGCCACACUGGGACUGAGACACGGCCCAGACUCCUACGGGAGGCAGCAGUGGGGAAUUUUCCGCAAUGGGCGAAAGCCUGACGGAGCAAUACCGCGUGAGGGAGGAAGGCUCUUGGGUUGUAAACCUCUUUUCUCAAGGAAUAACAAAAUGAAGGUACUUGAGGAAUAAGCAUCGGCUAACUCCGUGCCAGCAGCCGCGGUAAUACGGAGGAUGCAAGCGUUAUCCGGAAUGAUUGGGCGUAAAGCGUCCGCAGGUGGCGAUGUAAGUCUGCUGUUAAAGAGUGAGGCUUAACCUCAUAAAAGCAGUGGAAACUACAUAGCUAGAGUACGUUCGGGGCAGAGGGAAUUCCUGGUGUAGCGGUGAAAUGCGUAGAGAUCAGGAAGAACACCGGUGGCGAAGGCGCUCUGCUAGGCCGUAACUGACACUGAGGGACGAAAGCUAGGGGAGCGAAUGGGAUUAG
rnacentral:rRNA from 1 species